rnacentral:rRNA from 1 species
ACGAACGUUGGCGGCGUGGAUUAGGCAUGCAAGUCGUACGGGAUCCGGGGGCAACUCCGGAUUUAGUGGCGAACGGGUGAGUAGCGCGUGGGAAACCUGCCUUCGAGAUGGGGAUAACACUCCCAACGGGGUGCUAAUACCGAAUAAGACCACGGAAUCGCAUGGUUCUGCGGUCAAAGAUGGCCUCUACUUGUAAGCUAUCGCUUGAAGAGGGUCCCGCGUCCCAUUAGCUAGUUGGUGAGGUAACUGCUCACCAAGGCUACGAUGGGUAGCUGGUCUGAGAGGAUGGUCAGCCACACUGGGACUGAGAUACGGCCCAGACUCCUACGGGAGGCAGCAGUCGAGAGGCUUCGUCAAUGGGGGAAACCCUGAACGAGCGACGCCGCGUGGGCGAUGAAGGCCGUUAGGUUGUAAAGCCCUGUCGAGCGGGAAGAAACACAGGCGGGCAAACAGUCCGUCUGCUUGACGGUACCGCUAAAGGAAGCUCCGGCCAACUCCGUGCCAGCAGCCGCGGUAAUACGGGGGGAGCGAACGUUGUUCGGAAUUACUGGGCGUAAAGGGCGUGCAGGCGGCCUUGUAAGUGGGAUGUGAAAUGCCCUGGCUCAACCAGGGAACUGCAUCCCAGACUGCAAGGCUUGAGUAUAGGAGAGGAUGGGGGAAUUCCCGGUGUAGCGGUGGAAUGCAUUGAUAUCGGGAGGAACACCAGUGGCGAAGGCGCCCAUCUGGCCUAAUACUGACGCUCAGGCGCGAAAGCUAGGGGAGCAAACAGGAUUAGAUACCCUGGUAGUCCUAGCCGUAAACGGUGGGCACUAGGUGUAGGAGGCAUCGACCCCUCCUGUGCCGCAGCUAACGCAUUAAGUGCCCCGCCUGGGGAGUACGACCCGCAGGUUGAAACU